GCCUCGUAGCUCAGCUGGUAGAGCAUGCGCGUACAAAGCGUAGGCGGUGUCCAUGCGUGGGUUCGAAUCUCACCGAGGCUA
rnacentral:tRNA from 1 species